rnacentral:rRNA from 1 species
ACCACGGAGAGUUUGAUCCUGGCUCAGAACGAACGUUGGCGGCGUGGAUUAGGCAUGCAAGUCGAACGCGAACGCCGGACUUCGGUCCGGCUAGUAGAGUGGCGAACGGGUGAGUAACGCGUGGGCAAUCUGCCCUUGAGUGGGGAAUAACCAUUCUAACGAAUGGCUAAUACCGCAUGUGUCCCUUCCCUCGCAUGGGGGAGGGUGCAAAGGUGGGGAUCUUCGGACCUGCCGCUCGAGGAGGGGCCCGCGUCCCAUUAGCUUGUUGGUGAGG